CAUAGGUUAAUGAGGCGAACCGGGGGAACUGAAACAUCUAAGUACCCCGAGGAAAAGAAAUCAACCGAGAUUCCCCCAGUAGCGGCGAGCGAACGGGGAGGAGCCCAGAGCCUGAAUCAGCAUGUGUGUUAGUGGAAGCGUCUGGAAAGGCGCGCGAUACAGGGUGACAGCCCCGUACACAAAAGCGCAUGUGCUGUGAGCUCGAUGAGUAGGGCGGGACACGUGGUAUCCUGUCUGAAUAUGGGGGGACCAUCCUCCAAGGCUAAAUACUCCUGACUGACCGAUAGUGAACCAGUACCGUGAGGGAAAGGCGAAAAGAACCCCGGCGAGGGGAGUGAAAAAGAACCUGAAACCGUGUACGUACAAGCAGUGGGAGCCCCACCACUAAGCCAGUGGUGAACUCCACAUACGCAUCCUUUGCUGAGGAUACGGUUAACGGAGCGCAAGCGACGUUCAACCGCAAAAGAAGUAGAGGGGGC
rnacentral:rRNA from 1 species